rnacentral:ribozyme from 1 species
UGUUUUUUUUUUUUUUUUUUUUUUUUUUUUUUU